rnacentral:rRNA from 1 species
AAAUUGAAGAGUUUGAUCAUGGCUCAGAUUGAACGCUGGCGGCAGGCCUAACACAUGCAAGUCGAACGGUAACAGGAAWCAGCUUGCUGWUUCGCUGACGAGUGGCGGACGGGUGAGUAAUGUCUGGGAAACUGCCUGAUGGAGGGGGAUAACUACUGGAAACGGUAGCUAAUACCGCAUAACGUCGCAAGACCAAAGAGGGGGACCYUCGGGCCUCUUGCCAUCGGAUGUGCCCAGAUGGGAUUAGCUUGUUGGUGGGGUAACGGCUCACCAAGGCGACGAUCCCUAGCUGGUCUGAGAGGAUGACCAGCCACACUGGAACUGAGACACGGUCCAGACUCCUACGGGAGGCAGCAGUGGGGAAUAUUGCACAAUGGGCGCAAGCCUGAUGCAGCC